AUGCAUCCAUCCUGUAGUUGUCAAGAUGAAUCUGCUGUAGCCAUUACUUUGUUGGUAAAACUGGGAGGCUUUAAGAAAACACUGUCAAGUGAUUAUGAAAAAAAAAAUGUAUUCGACUGUUCUGCCCCUGCCAGGCUUGUGAGCACAACAGUUGGAGAAGAAACAAAGUGGAGACAGGAGCUGCCAAGCGAUGCCUGCUGCGAGCGGGAGGCCUUUUCUGGAUUGCUAACAACAGGGACCACGAUCAGGAAACUGGUCACUAAGCCUGUGCCUGCGUCCAGGAUGCGGCAGCCUCCUGCUUGGAUUUUGAACAGCAAUGUUAUACCUAGGCUCCAGUUUCUCCCUCCUGCUUUUCGCAGAGGUUCUAUGCUCACAGGAAAUGAGAGCAGAAAUCCAGUGAGGAGGACAGAUGCCUCAGAUACAGAGGAACUUGAGUUAAUGGGUAAGUACCUCAUCUUUCUCCAUCAUUCAUACAGGGGUUUGAAGGAAUAUUCUACAUAGCCUUUCAGAAGGUAUCCAAGGGAAUCAAACUAAGCUGCCAAUGACAAAAUCUUGUUCAUUAAAAAUAGAUUUUGGGGUUGCAUCAUUUUCUCCAUUUAUUUACUACGCCAAGUACUUCCUAUGAUCACUUCCAUAUCAAUUAGUGUCCAACCUAAGAAAUGAAACCAGUAGGAGCUACAAAUAAGAAGAAAUUUAUUAUAACAGAUUCAAUUAAGAAAAUGCAGGAGCUGGACAAAAAGCUAGAAGGUAUCACAGGGUAGGCAGCCCAGAAAGGUAGAUCAUGGGCUGGCUAGAUUCCUAUUGUCCCAGAGUCAUUGUCUGUAGGCUGAAUUGGUUGAAUUUCUUACCUUUAUGAGAAACCCCAGACUUAAUUGUAAAAUCUUUCAACUCAUUCAGUUUGCUUAUCUAGGAAAAUCCACUCCCCACUUCUUAUAAAGUCAACGGAUUAGAGGCUCUAAUUAGAGCUGCAGAAUCUAUUUAUAGCAACGCCUCUAUUAGGCUUUGAUAAUUAUUAGUCUGAAUUUUGUAGGACUGUAUGCUAUCCAAGAAAGCCAUCACAGUUAGCCAAAUAAAGUUUUUGCACCUAUUUUCA
rnacentral:lncRNA from 1 species